GUGAAUCAUCAAAUCUUUGAACGCAAAUUGCACUCUCCGGUUUUCCGGGAGCGUAUGCCUGUUUGAGGGUCAGCCUAAAAAAAAUCGACAUUGUUGCUGUUAUUUAAUGGUGACUUUCGUCGGAGAUUGGGUUAUCUUAAACCUUUUUUUUUUUUUUUGGUUUAAGGGUUUUAAAUUUUUUUUCACGAUUCACUUCAAGUUUC
rnacentral:misc_RNA from 1 species